AAAAUCCAGUCCGGCUGAAGCCGCAGCAGGCAGGCCGGUAGCGAGUCUUGCCUUCCGGCGGGCGACCGUCGAAAGAGAAGCGUAGCCAGCGAGAAAGUGGACGGUGAGGAUUCAGCUCCGAAAUCUAUCUCAUUGCGGCUGCCGAGACUUUUAUUCUCAGUCGAAGGCUGUAUUGGGUUCACCGAUAUGCGAGGUGAUCCUGAGCCGCCGGAGUCUCUGGCUG
rfam:Acidobacteria bacterium 13_1_40CM_3_56_11 13_1_40cm_3_scaffold_8116, whole genome shotgun sequence.